rnacentral:rRNA from 1 species
GUGGGUAACCUGCCUUAUAGUGGGGGAUAGCCUUUCGAAAGGAAGAUUAAUACCGCAUAAGAUUGUAGUAUCGCAUGAUAUAGCAAUUAAAGGAGCAAUUCGCUAUAAGAUGGACCCGCGUCGCAUUAGCUAGUUGGUGAGGUAAUGGCUCACCAAGGCGACGAUGCGUAGCCGACCUGAGAGGGUGAUCGGCCACAUUGGGACUGAGACACGGCCCAGACUCCUACGGGAGGCAGCAUG